rnacentral:pre_miRNA from 13 species
UGGGCCUGUUUUAGAAUACCUACGCUUUACCCUGCUAUGUGCGGCAAAGCGUCUGAAUUCUAAAAUGGGCUUG